rnacentral:rRNA from 1 species
UACGUAGGGGGCAAGCGUUGUCCGGAUUUAUUGGGCGUAAAGAGCGUGUAGGCGGUUUGGUAGGUCCGCUGUGAAAACUCGAGGCUCAACCUCGAGACGCCGGUGGAAACCAUCAGACUAGAGUCCGGAAGAGGAGAGUGGAAUUCCUGGUGUAGCGGUGGAAUGCGCAGAUAUCAGGAGGAACACCGAUGGCGAAGGCAGAUCUCUGGGCCGUUACUGACGCUGAGGAGCGAAAGCGUGGGGAGCGAACAGG